AUGGCCGCGGCGAUCCUCCGCCGCCUCAGCCCGGCCGCCGCCCAGCGCGCGUCCCCGCUGCUGCCGCUGGCCCGCGCGGUCUCCGACUCCACGGAGCCGCUCACCGUGGAGACCUCGGUCCCCUUCACGUCCCACAUCGUGGACCCGCCGUCGCGCGACGUGUCCACCACCCCGCGCGAGCUCGCCGCGGCCUUCCGCGACAUGGCGCUCAUGCGGCGCGCGGAGAUCGCCGCCGACUCGCUCUACAAGGCCAAGCUCAUCCGGGGCUUCUGCCACCUCUACGACGGCCAGGAGGCGGUCGCCGUGGGCAUGGAGGCCGCCAUCACCCGCCGCGACGCCAUCAUCACCGCCUACCGCGACCACUGCCUCUACCUCGCCCGCGGGGGCGACCUCGUCGCCGCCUUGGCCGAGCUCAUGGGCCGCGUCGGCGGCUGCUCCAGGGGCAAGGGCGGCUCCAUGCACUUCUACAAGAAGGACGCCAACUUCUACGGCGGGCACGGCAUCGUCGGCGCGCAGGUGCCCCUCGGCUGCGGCCUCGCCUUCGCGCAGCGGUACCGGAAGGAGGGCACCGUCACCUUCGACCUCUACGGCGACGGCGCCGCCAACCAGGGCCAGCUCUUCGAGGCGCUCAACAUGGCCGCGCUCUGGAAGCUGCCCGUCAUACUCGUCUGCGAGAACAACCACUAUGGGAUGGGGACGGCCGAGUGGAAGGCCUCCAAGAGCCCCGCGUACUACAAGCGCGGGGACUAUGUGCCCGGAUUGAAGGUUGAUGGGAUGGAUUUUCUUGCGGUGAAGCAGGCUUGUAAAUUUGCCAAAGAACAUGUUCUUGAAAAUGGACCGAUUAUUCUUGAGAUGGACACAUACAGAUACCAUGGUCAUUCUAUGUCAGAUCCAGGCAGCACUUACCGCACUAGAGAUGAGAUUGCAGGAAUAAGACAGGAGCGUGAUCCAAUUGAGCGGGUCAGAAAGCUAUUAUUGACCCAUGACUUGGCAACAGUCCAGGAGCUCAAGGACAUGGAGAAGGAAAUCAGGAAGGAAGUUGACACUGCAAUUGCCAAAGCAAAGGAAAGCCCAAUGCCAGAUACGUCCGAGCUGUUCAAGAAUGUAUAUGUCAAUGACUGCGGUCUGGAGUCUUUUGGGGUGGACAGGAAGGUGGUGAGAACCGUUCUUCCGUAG
rnacentral:rRNA from 1 species